AUGCCAAUCAAAAGGACUUUGGUUAGGGUCUAGGUUACUUAUGAAAUUAAAAAGUCUUUGGAAUUUUAUCUCAACAGAUGGAAUCGCCUCUCACCUCUCUCUCUCUGUGAUGCAUAAGAGUUCCAUAAGUAGCAGAGGAAACUAUAUUUAAGGGGAUUAUUUUUUAUACAAGAAUUAAAAGCAAAAUGAGGAUCAGAGUUGGAGGGAGUUCAAGAGUAACAUGAAAGCAUAACAAAAGGGAAGCAUCAUGGUGAGUCAACAUAAGCACCGAUCAUGACUUCUUCGAGCAGUGAACCAAAGUCGCUCUUCUUCGUGGACAAGUCCAGGUACCUCAUUCAUACCUUUGUUUUUUUUGUUUUUUGUUUCGAGUGACAUAAUUGCCUUUUUUCGCAGCUGAUAAUAACACAUCCAUAAUGACACACUGCGACAGACUUAUUCUGAAACAUAAGUCUAUUGUUUUGAUGGAUUGUUUUAGUAUUCUUAAUAUCUUCCUUCAUAUUAAGCUUUUUAGUUGUUUUCGUCUUUUUUUGUUGUUGUUAUUUUUUUGUUUUUUGUUGUUGUUGUAAAUGCAGAUCCAAUUUGCUGCAUGAGGCUUCCAAAGAAGAUAGUAGCAAGAGAGCAUAAAAUUGCUGCAGGAGGAGGUUCAUGUACAAGCAGUAGCUAAAAGGAUUUCAUGAUCUUAAUUUAAUUGUCAUGAACUUUUUGUUUUUUCGUUUCCUUUUUCAAUGGUUGCAAUACUAGCUUCAAUUACUAUAUUUUGGUGUAAAGAGUUUUGUUUUAAAUAAAGACUUAUUCAAUUGCAUCUGUUCCAAAUUCGGUUCAGUGGUUAACUAUGAUAAUUGUUAUCAAUAAAUACAAAGAGGAAUUUAAAU